CAAAUACUCCCUCCGUCCGGAAAUACUUGUCAUCAAAAUGGAUAAAAGGAAAUGUAUCUAGACGUAUUUUAGUUUUAGAUACAUCUCUUUUUAUCCAUUUUGAUGACAAGUAUUUUCGGACGGAGGGAGUAUUUU
rnacentral:pre_miRNA from 1 species